CCUGAAGAGAUGGUAGACUAUGGAACGUAGGCUUUGUGAUUUUUGACCUAUGUAACAUGGUCCACUAACUCUCAGUAUC
rnacentral:ncRNA from 4 species